GGCCAGGGUGCCGCAGCCGCCCCGGCCAGCAAAGGCCCGGCAGGACCCCUCCACGGCGGGGCCUCGCCCACACCCACUCGGAUGGGACCUCCAGACACACACUUCCCAGCGUGCUCUCUGGGCUGCGGGAGGAAACCCAGGCCGCCUGGGAGAACCGCACACCCCACACAGGCAGUGACCUGCCGGGAACGGGAUUCUUCCUCCUGUCAGCACUGAACGCUACUCCAGGACCUGCUGUGACACUUCAGGUGGCAGCACCGCCCAGCACAUAACAGAUGCUCAAUAGACACACGUCUGCCGUCCCACCACCUGCUCAGUCCUGUGCACAGGGGCUCUCUCUGCCUCCACGAUGCUCUUCCUGUCCUCUGACCUCUGUUCCAGGCACCAUUCCCACCAUCGCCAUCUCUGGGAAGCGUCCCCAGGCCACCCCCUCCCCCAUGUGGUGCCACAAAGUACAGUGAGUUCAGAUGACCUGCCGCCCAUCAGUGCACUCGGCGUUCACGUGUGGGUGCCUAACACCAGGUCGGGCCUGGAACAGACUCUCAUCACACGGAUGUCUUUGGUGAGUUAAAGGGACGUGAGCUGGGACCUGUUGGCUUCCUGGACACCCAGGAUCCGAGCCCCUGUCCUGUGCCUCCCACUAUAGGGUGAGCGCUUUGCCCCAUUCCCCAUUAGGAAGCCACCAUUGAGCGCUUCACCCCAGAGCCCAGCAGCGAGGGAGGCUGUGAGGCAGCCAUUCUGCCUUCCGGGGGGUGGGGGGUGGGGGGGGCGCUUCGGCAGAGCCCAUAGUGGCCCCGCACGCUGCUCCCAGGCCGCAGGGGCGGCACCCAGCUUCCCUGGGUCCCUCUCUCUCAGACGGUGCUCUGGCUUCCCUGUCCCAACGUGGGCCCCCAUCUCCUCCUAAUAGGCUUCUUUCUGCUGAGGAACUGGUGUUGGUGGUGUAUAGCCAAGGACCCCAGCUGACAGUCAGCAGGGCCUUUGGAUAAAAAGCAGUUAGAUGCCGAGAGGAAGGCAGACACCGGGAGGGUGUGAUCUGGUAACAUGACAGGCGGCCCAGCACGGUGGCCUCAGAGUCUCCCAGCCUGAGACUUCUCCCGGCUGGACAGCCGUGAGCAUGGCUCUGAUCUGCCUGCUAGUCCCAGCUCUGCCUUUCCUGGCUGCCCGCUCCAUGCUGUCAUCUAAACCUUCUGAACCUGUUUCUUUCUUUGUAAUAAAGAGAUGAUGAUAACAGCCGUGCCCACCUCACAGGGCUAUUCUAC